CGCACCUUAACGGCAUCGCAGCCACAUUCCAGGGGCCGGGGGCGGCCUCGUGCAACACGCGGGCGUGCAAGGGGCGGCCUCGUGCAACGCACACCCGCAUCCUCGUGCGACGUGUGCAAGGGGCGGCCUCGUGCAGCGCCCUCGUGCAAGGCACGGCCGGGUGCUGUGUCCUCGUGCAAGGCCCGGCGUGGCCUCGUGCAACGCGUGGCCGUGCAAAGUGCUUCCUCGUGCAAGGCACGGCCGUGCCCCCACCCCUCCUGCCCCCCCCGUGCGAGGCGUCCUCGUGCAAGGCCCGUGCAAGCACCGCCCUCCUGCCACGCCACACCCCGCGCCCGGCCCCACUUUAUGCAAUGCGCCCUCGUGCAAGGCCCCGCUCGUGCAGCGCACGCCCACGCCCGGCUCCUCUCACGCCACCCCUGGCCUCACACAAGGGGUGGCCGUGCACGAGGGUGGCACUUGUGCAAGGCACCGUGGGCAGAGGUGGGCCUUGUGCAAGGUGUGUCCUCGUGCAAGGUCGCUCUUGUGCAAGGUGCAUCCUUGUGCAUGGUGCACUCGUGCAAGGUGAACCCUCGUGCAAGGUGAACCCUUGUGCAAGACUCAUCCUCGUGCAAGGCACCUCCUCGUGCAAGGAGCAUCCUCACCCGAGGUGCAUCCUCGUGCAAGGCACCACCUCCUCGUGCACAGCCCACCCUCGUGCAAGGCGCCUCCUCGUGCGAGCCCCCCCCCCCCCCCCCCCCCCCCCCCCCCCCCCCCCCCCCCCCCCCCCCCCCCCCCCCCCCCCCCCCCCCCCCCCCCCCCC
ensembl:lncRNA